rnacentral:lncRNA from 1 species
CAGGUUCUCACCACCCAAGCUCCCUUGGGCCCAAGUUGAACCAACUUCCUGCUCCUUGCAGCCCAAGUCCCCUUACCCACUGACACCCCCGCCCCCAGCCCCGGCACCAGGCAGGGAAGGAAGGACCCAGCUCCUGUGCAGUCGCCCCGCUUGCUUGCUGUGGCCUUGAGCAGUGCUCUGGAAGUCUCUUCUUCACCUCCUCAUGGAGAGCGGGGCAGGUUGCACAUACGCGCACUCCCAACACUCCGGGAGGCUGAGGCCGGAGGAUCGAAGCCAAGUCCCCUUCUUGUGAAUCUGCCCCAUCCCAGGAGUAGAAAUGAGUCUCUCCAGCAGCAGCUGUUCCAUACCUGAGCAUCAUUCCCUUCCCUUCGAGGAUCCCCCAGGAUGGUGCCUGUGGGGGUCUCCUCCGCCCCUUCCCUCAUGCUGACCUGAGGCCAUUCCCCCAGCACCACCUUCUCUCUGGCUUCUCUCUACACAGCCAACCCCUGGCCGCCCUCGGGCACCCCGUGGGUGUCACUUUGUCCAGGACAGCUCUCGGUGCCAUGGCAGCACUGCACUGGCACCAGGGGCUGGGCUGGGAGUCGGGUGCAGAGGGGAGAGAGGAGGUCCCGGAUCUGCCAGAGCACAGUGCAGAAGCCAAGGUGACAGAGGAAGAGGAGCCCCAGUGCCCAGGACGGGAUCCGUGCAGGCUCGAGGUGAACACGCAACAGGCCACUCAGCAUCUCCCACGUUUCUUUGCAGUGGGAAUUCGGGCUUGACAGCACCGGCCCAGACUUCCUGGUUUAGAGAUCAGUCAGUUCCGGCAGCGACAGGGCUCCAGGUGCCUGUUUCCCUAAAGUGCUCCAAAUGGAUGAGACGUGUGGGACUCUGCGUGAAGGGGCAGGAAAGGGCUGUUUACAUCCACACCUGCUCGGCCCACCUGCCCUACAGACUCACGCUAUCAAAUGUUUUCUAGUUGCUAUGACAAUCAAAUCACAGAGCCAGUAUUUGUUAUUGUUCCAGAGGGAAAAAAAGGAAGGACGGUACUGUGAGGCCCAAGUUCAUGUGUCAGUGGGCAGCUGAGUCACCCUGCCAUGGUCUGCCGAGUCCCAGAGCCAUUUUCCUAGGGUCUGAGACUCACACCUGCCACCCCUCUUCCCCAAGAGGAUGGUCCCCUGUCCGAGUCUUUCAACAAGCCCAGGUGGCAGACACCCCGGCCUGAGGACCACCAGCAGCCUGCAGGUGGGCAGCGAAGUCACCCAUGAGGACUCUGCCCUGCCCCAUGGAGUGGCAACUACCAGGCACUGCUGAGACCUCUUUCCUGAGUAUCUUUAGUUACACUGCUGCAACUGCCUCCAGGUCCUGAAUCCAUUCAAAACAUUUACCUUCCACGGUCAUUUUGACCUUGGGGAAAGACAGACUUUGCAGGGUGCCAGAUGCAGUGGCUAAGUGAGGGGAGGCACACCCUAAUUGCCUUUCUGUCGGAGGGCACUCAUCAGCAGUUUUCACAUCUCAUGAAGACGCUUAGGAAAGAGGACUCUAGAACUGCUCCAGAAAGUGGCCAGAACAGUGGGCUGAGUGUGUUCAAGGGGAAUUAAUGGCAGUGUAUCUUUUCCCAUGAUACAUUUUUGAAAUUGAAACCUCCACCAUGUACCUUGAUCACCUUGUAUUUCAUAGAUGGUUUCUAGAGUUGCCUAGCACUCGGCUGGCUCUGCGAGGGCCAAGCCACUUGAGUUCUCCAAGCCUCUGCCUCCUUGUGCACAACAGAGGGGAAGUAACACCACCUCAACAGAUUGCUCUGGGGAAGAAAGGCAAAAGCGCCAAUCAAGUGUUUACAUGGUACCUAGUUGCUAUGGUUUAUAUCUAGAUGUCCACAAGAGCACAUAGGCGAGGCUUUUGGAAGUUGAUUGUAUCAUGGGUCUUAUAGCUGACUUGCUGUUGGAGGAGGGGCCUGGACAGAAGAGGCGGCUCCCUGUGUGUGCCCAGGAAAGGUUCUACCUCCCUCCGGCUCCUUGCUCAACACCCUCUGCUUCCUGGAUACCUUGAUUCGAGCAGCUGUUCCCCUGCCAGGGCCCUCUUCCAUGCUGUCCUGCCUUGGAGCCAACGGACUACAGACUGAAACCUCUACAAACAUAAGCCAAAAUAAACCUCUGCUCCCACUAGUUGUAGGUGUUGGAUAUGAGAAAGUACUGAAGACACUAGCACGGUGCAAAGCACUCAGUACAUCAAUACAUGCCCACUGAGGUGGUGGCUGAUUGGCGGGACCCUGGGCAAAGGCCUCUGGACGGCUGGAAGGUGAGGCAGAGGGAGCUCCUGCUCCCCCAGAUACACACGGGGCAGGCAGGGGAGGCUGUGCCAAACGCAGCUGUCCCGGGCUUAGUCUGCUUUCUGUUGCUAUCACAAAAUACCUGAGACCAGGUAAUUUAUAAAGAAUGGAAGUUUAUUUGGCUCACAGUUCUGGAGGCUGGAAAGUCCAGAAGCACAGCACUAGGGUCUCCCCAGAGUCCAGUGAGGGCCUCUUACUGCAUACAACACGUGG